rnacentral:rRNA from 1 species
AUUAAACGCUGGCGGCAGGCCUAACACAUGCAAGUCGAGCGGGGUUUUCGGACCUAGCGGCGGACGGGUGAGUAAUGCGUAGGAAGCUACCCGAUAGAGGGGGAUACCAGUUGGAAACGACUGUUAAUACCGCAUAAUGUCUACGGACCAAAGUGUGGGACCUUCGGGCCACAUGCUAUCGGAUGCGCCUACGUGGGAUUAGCUAGUUGGUGAGGUAAUGGCUCACCAAGGCGACGAUCCCUAGCUGGUUUGAGAGGAUGAUCAGCCACACUGGAACUGAGACACGGUCCAGACUCCUACGGGAGGCAGCAGUGGGGAAUAUUGGACAUUGGGCGCAAGCCUGAUCCAGCCAUGCCGCGUGUGUGAAGAAGGCCUUCGGGUUGUAAAGCACUUUCAGUAGGGAGGAAGCGUUGUGUGUUAAUAGUACACAGCGUUGACGUUACCUACAGAAGAAGCACCGGCUAACUCUGUGCCAGCCGCCGCGGUAAGAC